rnacentral:ncRNA from 1 species
AAAUAGAGGCGCGGUCAUCAUGAGUAAUAUGCAAAAACGUGCGGAAACACGGCAUAUGAAAGGGAUCACCGCCGAAAUGUGAUCAGGUUUUCCGGCCGGAUCAUGUUGGUCCGGUAUAUAACAUGUGCCGGACUGUCACCCAAAAGGUGGAGUGCUAUUUU